rnacentral:sRNA from 1 species
AGGUACCGCUCGUACACUGCGGUGCUGAGCGCACCGCCCGCACCGGCCUGACGACCGCUACGUUUUGUUGGCC